rfam:Helianthus annuus linkage group 8, whole genome shotgun sequence.
UCACUUACCUGGACGGGGUCAAUGGGCGAUCAAGAAGGUCCAUGGCCUAGGUUGGUGACCUCCAUUGCACUCAGGAGGGGUGCCCGCCUAAGGUCGGCCCAAGUGGUCGAGCCUACGUCAUAAUUUGUGGCAGUGGAGGCCUGCGUUCGCGCAGCCUCUGC